GGUGAGGUGGCCGAGCGGCUGAAGGCGCUCCCCUGCUAAGGGAGUAUAGGGUUUGUCCCCUAUCGAGGGUUCGAAUCCCUCCCUCACCGCCA
rnacentral:tRNA from 1 species